AGAAAAGAGAAAAUUCACAAAAAAUAUCAAAUGACAAAAUAAAAAAAAUUAAAAAUCAGAAUCAGAAACUAGAAUUUAUUUGGAGACUAAUGCAAUUGGUCCCAUAAUUUUUUGGACCAAUAAUAAAAGAGAUAUGAAUUUUUGAAAUAAAAAGGGGAUUAAAUAAAAUAAAAUCAGAAAAAUAAAAAAUAGCAAAAAUCAGGAGACGUUCGAUCACAUUCAUUAAUUGACGUGGCCAAU
rnacentral:lncRNA from 1 species